AUGGCAUUAGUAUGACGUCGAA
rnacentral:siRNA from 1 species